rnacentral:rRNA from 1 species
GAAAAAACGGAGGGCGGAGGCAGAAUUAUUGGGCCAAUUUCUUCAGUCGAGCGGCUAAAAAGGAUCGGGUCCCAGCCCGAGUUGCAUACCGCCCGUAUUCCUGGCCCUAAACCGAAGAAUAGAUUGCUUGCGGCGUAUUGAUCCCCUCCCUGGCCGAAGGUAAACGCAUUUAACCACUCCCGACUGGGGAGUACGGUGCCAAAGCCUGAAACUCAAAUGAAUUGACGGGGCCACGCACAAACGGUGGAGCAUUGGUUCAAUUGGACGCAACGGGAAGAACCUUACCCAGGCUUGAACAGCGAGUGACCAUUCCCGAAAGGGAACUUCCGCAAGGACACUCGUAGAGGUGCUGCAUGGCUGUCGUCAGCUCGUGUCGUGAGAUGUUGGGUUAAGUCCCGCAACGAGCGCAACCCUUAUCUUAUGUUGCCAGCACUUCGGGUGGGAACUCUAAGGAGACUGCCGGUGACAAACCGGAGGAAGGUGGGGAUGACGUCAAGUCAUCAUGGCCCUUACGGCCAGGGCUACACACGUACUACAAUGGGAGGUACAGAGGGAAGCGAAGCCGCGAGGUGAAGCCAAUCCCAGAAAACCUCUCUCAGUCCGGAUCGGAGUCUGCAACUCGACUCCGUGAAGUCGGAAUCGCUAGUAAUCGCGAAUCAGCAUUGUCGCGGUGAAUACGUUCCCGGGCCUUGUACACACCGCCCGUCACACCAUGGGAGUUGGUUGCUCCAGAAGUAGGUAGUCUAACCGCAAGGGGGACGCUUACCACGGAGUGGUCAAUGACUGGGGUGAAGUCGUAACAAGGUAAAUCGAAUUCCCGCGGCC